UGGUUUCUCUUCAGAUCAUAUAAAUCUUUCACCUUUUACUAAAUAUUUCCAUGGAGAGGAACAUACAU
rnacentral:snRNA from 1 species